UGAGGAAUAUUGGGCAAUGCCCGCAAGGGUGACCCAGCAACGCCGCGUGGAGGAUGAAUGUCGUAAGAUUGUAAACUCCUGUUAGAGGGGAAGAAUAGUACCGGUUGGACCGGUAUAUGACUGUACCCUCAGAGAAAGCCCCGGCUAACUACGUGCCAGCAGCCGCGGUAAUACGUAGGGGGCAAGCGUUGUCCGGAUCUACUGGGUGUAAAGGGCGCGCAGGCGGGAUAAAAAGUCAGUGGUGAAAACCUACAGCUUAACUGUAGAACUGCCUUUGAUACUUUUAUUCUUGAGUUCGGGAGAGAGAGACGGAAUUCCAGGUGUAGUGGUGAAAUACGUAGAUAUCUGGAAGAACACCAGUUGCGAAGGCGGUCUCUUGGUCCGACACUGACGCUGAGGCGCGAAAGCGUGGGGAGCAAACA
rnacentral:rRNA from 1 species